GGAAGAGCCAUAGAUCAGUGGUAGAGCAUCUGCUUUGCAUGCAGAAGCUCCCAUGUUCAAUCCCUGACUUUUCCU